ACUCCUCGUCUACCUACGUUCAUCCGUAGGUGAGGAUUUGUUGUUUGAAUACUUGCCCCCUCCUUUUGCUCGCCUUUUUGCGACUGAGGCUAAGUGUGACUCCUCGUCUACCUACGUUCAUCCGUAGGUGAGGAUUGUUGUUUGAAUACUUGCCCCCUCCUUUUGCUCGUCUUUUUGCGACUGAGGUUAAGUGUAACUCCUCGUUUACCUACGUUCAUCCGUAGGUGAGGAUUGUUGUUUGAAUACUUGCCCCCUCCUUUUGCUCGCCUUUUUGCGACUGAGGCUAAGUGUGACUCCUCGUCUACCUACGUUCAUCCGUAG
rnacentral:lncRNA from 1 species